rnacentral:rRNA from 1 species
GACGAACGCUGGCGGCGUGCUUAACACAUGCAAGUCGAACGAUGAAGCCGGAGCUUGCUCUGGUGAAUUAGUGGCGAACGGGUGAGUAACACGUGAGUAACCUGCCCUUGACUCUGGGAUAACUGCGGGAAACUGUAGCUAAUACCGGAUACGACCCUCGGUGGCAUCACCAGGGGGUGGAAAGAAUUUCGGUCAAGGAUGGACUCGCGGCCUAUCAGCUAGUUGGUGAGGUAACGGCUCACCAAGGCGACGACGGGUAGCCGGCCUGAGAGGGUGACCGGCCACACUGGGACUGAGACACGGCCCAGACUCCUACGGGAGGCAGCAGUGGGGAAUAUUGCACAAUGGGCGCAAGCCUGAUGCAGCAACGCCGCGUGAGGGAUGACGGCCUUCGGGUUGUAAACCUCUUUUAGUAGGGAAGAAGCGAAAGUGACGGUACCUGCAGAAAAAGCACCGGCUAACUACGUGCCAGCCGCCGCGGUAA